rnacentral:sRNA from 1 species
GUUGGAGUACGAGUCCGUGCUGUGUGUGAAGCCAGACGUCAGCGUCUACCGGAUUCCGCCCCGGGCCUCCAACCGCGGUUACAGGGCCUCUGACUGGAAAUUAGACCAGCCUGAUUGGACUGGUCGCCUCCGAAUCACUUCAAAAGGGAAGACUGCCUAUAUCAAACUCGAGGAUAAAGUUUCAGGGGAGCUCUUUGCUCAGGCACCAGUAGAACAAUAUCCUGGUAUUGCUGUGGAGACAGUGACAGAUUCUAGCCGCUACUUUGUAAUCCGGAUCCAGGAUGGUACUGGAUCACUUCAAGUGAGUGAAGCUUGUCCUUAGUUACGAGGCUGAAUGCUUAUAGGAAUGCUGCUUCUCACAUGAGUGGGCAGUAUCUCUUCCUCCUGGUUUCUUUAUUUCUUAAACUAUUUCAUUGUGAAUAUAAAUCUCCCCAUUCACUUUUGUUUCCUUAGGUCAUCUUUGUAUCUAUUCUGUUUCCUUUCCUUAUAGCCUGCAAUAUGUUUCAGAUCCCUUGUGCAGUAGUUUGAAAUGAUGCUCUGUCGAAUUUGCCCCAUCUUUUAGGGGGUAGAGGGAGGCCUAUGGUAACAGCAGGGCUUUAUGUGGGGAGUCGUGUGCCACUCUUGUUACCUUAUGUAGCUGACAUGUUUUGUGACUUUUGCAACAUUUCUUUAGCCCACUUGAUUUUGGUGCAGCUGUGGUUGACAGCACUGUGCACACUGUCAGCUUCCUACCUCAAGAGCAAGCAUAUCUCUCCUUUUCUGCCUUAGGACUCUGAAGUUAUAGAAGGCUAAGAGCAAGCUUUAACUUGGAGAGACUAAGAAACUAACACCCCCUCAGGAGCAGCCCUCAACUGUGGGGAAUGGGAAUUGGUGGCUAAAUACCAUCCUUCUGGAAGGGGCAAUUCUAAUACGUAUUCCGUGAGAUUUCUCAGAGAGUCCCCAGUGGAAUUGAACCCCAGUUGUUUUCUUUCUUGGCUUUUUUCCCUUCUGUUUCUCACUCUUUUUUAUCUCUCACUGUGUUUUCUGGAAUCUCAUUUCAUAAAAGUAAAUACACCCAAAUUUGUAUGUCAGACUCUGCUUUCAGGAAAUCUCAAACUAAGAUAACUUGCUGUGUUCCCAAAGGUGGGUAAAGCAGGAAUCUGAGAUUUCCAAGGAAUCUCAAGAAAUGGAUGCUCGUCCUAAGUUGGAUCUGGGCUUCAAGGAAGGACAAACCAUCAAGUUGAGUAUCGGGAACAUUACAAACAAGAAAGGAGGUGCUUCUAAGCCCAGGACUGCAAGGGGUGGGGGUCUGAGCCUACUCCCACCCCCGCCAGGAGGCAAAGUCACUAUUCCCCCACCAUCCUCCUCAGUUGCCAUCAGCAAUCAUGUCACCCCACCACCCAUUCCGAAAUCUAACCAUGGAGGCAGUGAUGCAGAUAUCCUUUUAGAUUUGGAUUCUCCUGCUCCUGUCACGACACCAGCACCAACUCCAGUUUCUGCAAGCAAUGACUUGUGGGGAGACUUCAGCACUGCAUCCAGCUCUGUUCCAAACCAGGCACCACAGCCAUCCAACUGGGUCCAGUUCUGAAUGGCAUUGGCAGGACAUUAAGGACAGACUUGAGGAAUAAAAAUGACCUUGAGGGCACCAAUCUGUGAGGGAAGUUAGGAACCCAUUUCCUCCCCAGAACCAGAAUGACUGGAAAAUCUUUUUCAUAGCUUCUCCAUCACAUUCAAGCUGGUUUAUGUCACUCCCCUGUGUUGUUACUUGUACAGCCAAGAAAGUAUCUGUUAUCUCCUGCUUAGUACCAAGGUAGGGGACUAGUGGAUCUUAUCAUAGUUUUGGCUGACUAUGCAGGGCUUAAAAGGCCAGCGUCUGUUUGAGGGGGAAUGACCUCUAACAUCUGUAAAAUUUGUCUCAUCUUUUAAAUUCUUUAACUUAUUUCAAAAUCAUCUCAUGACCCUUGUGUGCCUCUUUGUGAAGCCCUAUUUAGCAAUUUCAGGGGAGUCAAAAACCUUGCAACUUCCUUCUCCACUAACCCAGGACUAAAAAUGGACAGGCUCACCUCAGUGUUUACAAAUUCAGAAUUUUGAUAGGGGUAGAUAUGGAGAAAGACCUAUUUCCUGGGUCUCUGCUGUGUAGUCUCCUUCAGGCUUAUUGUACUCAGUGAACAUCCAGUGCUGGGUGCAGCUCCAUCACCCUCUUGUGUGUUUACAUGUCUCUUUCUAUGAUAAGAGGGUUGUGUUGGUGGCACCUCCACUACUCUUUUCUGUUUGUUGAGUGAAUUGUGUAACAUCUUUGAUCAGUGGGUGUCUCUGUAAUGAAGGAGGUUCAAGAGGCUGUGCUUUCCAAGUGAUAGUCUAUAGGAGUGUUUAAUUUCUUGCAGCUCCAUCUGGUUGCUGCAUUUGAAGCAUGGCAUUAAUUUGUAUUUGCCCUGUUCUUUGACCUAAAGUUGAAGGGUUUAGAGUUUUUAACCUGAUCUGUAGAGCAGAGAGGUUGAAAGCACUUAACUCUUGUUUAGUAUCCUCAUUGCCUUGCUGCCUGGGUAUCUGGCCCCUUUCCAUAAACAUUUCUUUUCAGUUCAUGUAGUUCUUUAAUAGAAAGCUGCUGUUAUGUAUAUUGUCAUUUGUGAAGGAAGUUGGAGAGUCACAGCUUUACUGUGACAGGUUUUGCCCAAGGCUUUGAUACCUGUCACCCAGGGUAUCUUAAAAGCAAGUUGUUCUCCCACUACUUUCCUUUCCCUCUGCCCUGCCAUUCCUUUUACAAUGCUGUGAAAAAAGUUCUGCUUCUUAGGUGAAUGGGGUACUUUCUAUUUUGUUUCUAAACGAGCAAUUUUGAGGAUGAAAUGGGAAGAUAUCAUUGCUUCCUUUUUGCACCUAUUGGGUAUGUACACUCUGGCCGAAGGGAGUCCUUAUGUUUAGUUUCAAAAUAUAUUACUUUCCUGGAUUCUCUUCUUCACUUUUUCUGACUUUGGGUCCAUUUUCUUUUCAUUGCCUCCUUUUCCAGGCAGCUCUAUUCUUGCAGAGCCAUAGCAGGACAUAUUAAAAUUCCAAUAGAAAACACUAAAAGGAAAGUCUGUGGAAUCACUAGUGACUAAAUACUGGGAACCUAUUUUCUCAAUCUUCCUCCAUGUUGUGUUCUUUGUAUUCUCGAGAUGAUAAUAUAUUAUGUAUUUGAAUUCCUGAAAAAUGGAAAAUGUUUAAGAUAUAUGUAUAUAAAGCAUAUGCUGUAUU